rnacentral:lncRNA from 1 species
CUAGCUGGAUAAGUGAUGGGCCCCACAGCCCGUGGGACCCGCACGUCAGCGACCCCACGCCCGGCCCCGCCACUGUCCACGUGGAUAAGUGGAAGCGUACUUCGCAGAAGUACGUUUUCGCCUUCAGAAAGCGUGUUUCUCUUCUGCUCCAGUCGUAAGUGCGCUUUCAUAGUUUGAAAACUAUUUUCUUCUUAGGCGCCUUCUGUUUUCUCACUCAGGGGCCUGUUUGUAGAGAUUCUUUUACAAAUCGGUCCCUGAACUUCGUCGGGCUAUAUCUUUUUACUCCCAACUCCAAAUGAGGUGAUUCCAAAGCCCAUUUCUUUGUCUCGUCGAGCCCGUUCUGUUGGUUUCAUUUUCACUAUGGUUUGACACUGUGAAAAUGACCCUUUUUCCCUUGCCCGUAAACAGCCCCUCCGAGAGAGAACUGUUUCUGGCAAAUCUUUCCGCGAGCUUCUCGCACUUCUUCCCUGUGUUUUCUUCAUCCCCAGGCAAGCCACAAUACCCACUUGCAUGAUAGUCAUGCAGUAGCCAUGGUUUUCAACUUGAAUAUUUAUUAAAUGAUUGCUUGUUUAAAAUAUGGUUAUCGUUGUUUUGGUAAUGCUUCUGGGUUAGUGCUUACUUGCUUGAUAUGUUGUUAUGCACCUGGUUAUCAUGCCCUGCUAGUUGCUAGUAUUACUUUCAUAUUUCCAUGCUUGAUAGUAGUACAUGUUGGGUUGGUCAUGUUCUUCGGUGCAUGAUUAACGUCGGUUAUCGAGUACUGUUAAUAUGCGUUCUUCCUUUGCUGUUAGUUGGUUAAGUGUUACUCGGUAAUGUUAUUGAUGAGUUCUUGCAUGGUAUUUAUGGUUGAUGCUAGUGGUCAUGUUUUACUAUGAGUAGUGUUGCACUUGUAAUAGUUAUGCUCGUCAUUAUGCCAUGUUCAGUUGGAGAUUAUUCAUAGUUGAUAUGGUGGAUCGUUAUGUUGUACCCUCAUGCUUAUGUUGAUCUCAUGCUCAUGCUUUGUAUAUGCAUCAUGUUAUUUUAUCAUGGCUCAGCAUAUUGCAUUCAAGUUUAACCAGAUUAAGUUCAACUUGAACAACUGUUGGCUGAGUCAUGGUGCCACCAUAUCGAAACUGACCAGUGCAACCACGCUUACCUUAUGGGAAGGUCCUAACUGGGUCUAUUGUCGUGCCUCUCGCCGGUGCCUCCAACGAGGGAAGGUUAUGGGCGCGCGCUACCCUGAUCAGGUAGGCGGACAUAACCUUGUGUGCCCGUUGUUGUUAUUAUGGAUCCGGUCCCCGUGAGGGACGUUUUGGCCACGACAGUGGUCGUUGUGUCUUUGGUAGAUACGGGGCCACCCAGGACUAGCCCAGUUGGGAGUGGGUCGGAGUGGCCGGGAGAGUGUCAUGGCAAUAGAUCGGUUUUGUCGGAAUGCCAUUGGUCCACCCGAAUGGGAGUGCGAGGCCAUGGGUUCCGUGGUGUGGGUACAGUGUACUAACCUCUGCAGAGUGUAUAUUAAAUCUAUCGAUAGCCGCGCCCGCGGAUAAGGGCCCAGUUCGUGUCGGUCACACCGUGAGUCAACAGUAUUAAUAAUAACUUGAUUAAUGACAACCCCGGUUCGAUGAUGAGAUAAGUUGGUUGUGAUCGCCGGAAAGAUCACCGUUUGAGACCAAGUGUUGGUCAUGGUUGUGAUCGCCGAAAUGAUCACCGUGGUAUCGAGGAUACCGAGUUGUUGGAUAUUCGUGAUGUUGUGCGAGAAUCAUGGGUAAAGAUCAAGCUCCUUGUGGUCAUUUAAUGAUUACUACGGUAUUGUUGAUACCAAGCUUGAUUUGAUCCUGAGAUGAUUGUGUGAUGUCCGAGGUUGGUAAGUGAUGCAUGUGAUGGUUACGUAGUAAGCCGAGCAGAAUAAAUAGUGCAUAUAGUGUCUUCAUGUUGCAUGCUAGUAUCGUCGAAUUCAUAUGUUCAUGCUAUGCUCAUGUUGUUCUAGCUGUAUCAUGUUCAUGUUGCGCAAGUCAUGUUGUUACGAGGAUCUCAUGUUAAUUCCUCCUUAACCUGUAAAUGCCAUGCUGAUGUUUGUCUUGAAUGCUUCUGGUUAAUGUGAGCUUGCAAGUACAUUCAAUGUACUGACCUGGCAUGUCAUGCCAGCUUGCAGGUCGUGCCUGGAUUUCUUGCUUGUUUGGUGUUGUUCCUGUGUUUGCGAGCUAGGAUAAGCAUUCCAGCCAGAGUCCCUGCGGAGUGGAGUUCACCACCGUCGUCGUUGUUCCGCCGCCAGUAGUUGUUGCGCUGCCUCAACUUGCUAUGCUGCUUGCAUAGAGCAACUGAGGAUGGCGUAGUGUCGUCGUGCCGAUGUUAUUCAUUGUAAUAUCGGAGACCUUGUAUUCAUAUUCGUGUAUUAAUAGAAAGCUGGUUUGUUCUAUGCUAAGCAGUGCCGUAUUCCAGAAGACUUCACCUCGAUCUCUAGGCUGGAAUACGGGGCGUUCCGGUUUUCUCUGAGCCGGGGUGCCACAGGCUUGGUAUCAGAGCAGGUCUGGCUGUAGGAUGCCCUAGCCCGCCCGAACGUUAGAAAGCGGUAGUAUAGACCCCAGUUGGUUUGUUGCAUUUGUUUGUCGCAUAGCAUGUAUAUAGAUUAUUAUUUUGUCACUAACGGUUGAUCUUGUGAGUGUAGGCGGCAUCGUUUUCGGUCCACCGCCUGCACCCUCCUUCUUAGCAUGCCUGCUCUUCGGUGUGAUUCGACCACAUCAUCAUCCAUUGCCCUCCAUCUCGUUCUUUUGGCAACCCUUGCUGAUCUUUGUUAUCAGAAAAGGGUAAUGCCAUUAAACCCCGUCUUCCACUGUUAUCUUGCCUUGUCAUUUCAUUCUUUGGACGGGUACGAUUCCCUUCGUACGCUUGAUGAUGAGGUGGUCGUGACUUUUGUGUCUCGCUACUUGAUCGUCAAGUCCGUCCUCACCUGUGUAUCCAUCCAGAUCCAGCCACUGUUCAGCCAGUGCUUGGUGUAGCUUCGGUUACGCCAACUCCUUCCACACAUGGAUAUAAUUUUCGUGCACACCGCCACAGCAUAUUAGACCGUAGUACCGGAGUUUCCAUGUGAUUAGUGUGCUUAGGUGUGCAUGCAUAUUAUGGUGUGAGUAGCAGUAAUAUGUGAAGAUUGCUUGAUUAAUUAUAUUAGUAGUAUGCUUGUGUGCUUUUGUUUUAGUUAUAUCUUUUGUUUGUUUCUUUGGGCCUUUGGUGUUACAAAUUUUCCCCUAUUAAAGUUGCUCGUCAGCCGACACCGGACCCGAAGAGUCAGCAAGAAAUGCAUAUAUUUGGAAACUCGGUUAAACAAGAAUGGAAUUGUCAGCAGACUGCAGUGAAAUUGGAAAUAGCUCGUCUGAAUACAAAAGAAAUCCUGGAUGGAAUGUCAGUAUAAAGUUUGCAUUAACAUGCACUCCUCACAACAGUAUGGAAUUCUCAGCCGACUGCAUUCAGAUUGGGGGAUAUCUGGUCAUGUUACUGAGUGUCAAGUCUCCCUCAGCGUGUACUCCUCAUAGCACAAAUGAUCAAAUCAGCAAGAAGAUAAAUUGUGUGCAUGGUUGAUAAAAUAUUAUCAAAGGUAUGGCUCAGAUACAAGUUUAAUUUUUCGUUGAGGAUCAUUUUGGAACCCGAUGUACCUGGAAGCAAGCAAAAAUAUGGCAUGUACUCAGAAAGGAGGAUAGUCCUGCAAAACCCCGUUUCAUACAAGAAAUCAAGAACAAAAAUUUUAAGAUGGUUAUAUAUGUGGAAAUCGGUUCGCAUAUCACAAUAAGAAGCUUCUGGUGUAAGAAACCCAAUCUUCCCUCGCAAGAUACCCGAGAAGCUUCCAAGGCAAGAUUCAUCUAUCUUCCUCAGUACGAUACAUGGAUGAUUUCCCGUACAAGGUACUCUGCCUUCUUCAGUAAGCUACCGCAAAAGCUUCCGGCAUAAGGUACCGAGUCUUUCCCCAGCAAAGUCUUUAAGGGGGUAAGCUUCUGAAGCACGAUACCCAGUCUUCUUCAGCAAGCUGUCCGAUGAAAGUUUCGAGCACAAACCAGCCAAUCUUCCUCAGUAAGACAUUGGUACAAGGUAGUAUGAUGUGAAUUGAUAGCAUAUGGCAGUGAAUCCCAAGAAUCAGAUCCGCAACAUUUAGGUCAGAAGCAAGAAUCAGUCAGAAUACAUGUCUGUCUCGGGAAUCAGAUUCUCAUAUAUAUGCGGUGAGCAUACCAGCAAGAUCUUACAAGUCACUCAGAUGAGGAUAUGACAACCACGUGAGGAUGGUUAAGAGAAGAAAGCCAGUAUACACCGCAGUGUGACAAAGGAUUAUGAGGAUUGACGACAUCAAUGGCUCAAUGCAAGUACCUGUGAACCUGGAAAAUGAUCCUGAUGAGCCCUUGUCCCCUUUUUUCUCCAAUGAUGGCACCAUGCCUGUGAUCUAAGCUGUUUUUAGCUAUCCGGGGUGGAUGCCGAUUUUUUAUUUCUCUCUUCAACGACUGUCACGAGUUCUGAGCUGCUUUUCGGCCGUCUCAUACAGCUGUUGAGUUUCUUUUUGUGACAGUAGCCCUAUAGCUGCUUUUUGGCUAUUUUAGGGAGCUGCCACCUUCUUCUUAUCAACCCGAUCUCAUGUUCUGAGCUGCUUUUCGGCCGUCCUGCGCCAUGGUUGAGUUAUUUCAGUAAUGUCCCAGAUCUGAGUGGUAAAGACCAUUCUGGUGGCUACUGAUUUAUUUGUCGAUUUCUUGCAAAGGUUUGGAUGAUCAUUUUCCUGCGGUCAGAAUUUGAGGGGUGUUGAACCUGCCAUUUAAUGGGGUACCCUGUCAGAAAAAUGAGGAUAAGCUGCGAUUGCCGAAAAAUUGCACUGACAGUACCUAUGGUGAUACGAAGAAGCAAUAUGACCCAGCUCUUUCAGCCAAGGAUCCUGGCCAAGAAAACAAUAAUGAAGGAGCAAGACCAGUGAUGCAGGUAUGAAAAUUGUUGCAAGACCCGCGUGGUGCAGAACCACCGUCAGUCAAGUCUACAGAUAUUAUCAUACAAGUCAAACUCUUAUGCUAGCCACGACAGGCGACAAUCAAAUAUUUGGUACGGAUCCGAUACUCAAGACAGUGGAACCAGUUAAGAUGAUUCAGAAACUUCCGCGAUAAGCCAGAAUUUGUCAGGAAAGCGGUUAUGACCCAACUCGCUGUUUGGAACCCGAAGGACCUGCAUUUAGUGGAGAAACCCAAUGCAAGGAUUUAGAGCUUGGGUGUCCACUAGAAAAAAUCUGAUCACCACUUCAUGAAAGAUUGUCAAUGCCGGAUGACACACCCAGCAGAAAUCACUCUUGGAUUUGUGAAACCGACGUAUAUUUCAGUCGUGAGAAUCCAUCACAGUCAGCUAAGUCAGCAGAUCUAAAAAGAAAUUGGAGCCUGUAUAAGCAUGAACAAGCAAGGUAAGAUCUGUCAGAAUAUGGAUAUAUUAAAGCAAACCACCCCAGGACCAGUCAGAUAAAAAUUUAGGGGGGACAAAAAUAAGAAAAAGGAUACCCGAGUUGGAAACGGUUUCCUUAAGUCAGUAUCUUCAUACUUGUUCCCUGAGCAACCAAAUCUCGAGGACGAGAUUUCUUUAAGGGGGUAAGGUUUGUAACAGCCUGAUUUUUGGCCCUUUCUUUUUCUUUUGUUUUUCUGAGGUUUUUGCUUGAGUUUUCUUUUUCCGUGGCUUUGUGGUCUGGAAACUGAACAAGAUGCCCUCUUGUUUAUUUCCAGAGUGGCUUGUCAUUCCCAAAUCCUUCCCUAGACCCCGUCAUUUUCAUCCUAGCCCAAAUCCCAAUAUUCUUUUCAUUGGGAAUAUUCCUUUUCUACUAAAGGAAUAACUCAAGUUGCCCUAGGUUGUGAAGCAACCUUUACUUCCAUCACUCCUAAAAUUCCCAAAUAAUUCUCAUAAAUUUUUUGGGUCAUAUCUUUCCCAAAUAUGGUAAAAUAUUUCAUUUGUCAUGUUUAUCAUCAUGCUCAAAUAAUUCAUUUCCUAUUCUACCCUAAAUGGCACAUUGUGAAGCAAGUGCUAUUUUCCUUUUCCCAAGUGACCUCAAACUCCUUGGACACCUUUUCCUGUCCAUAUCAUUGCCACAUGCCAAAAUUCAACCUCAUUUGGCUAGUAAUUAUUUAAUUAUGAUUUUCCAAAGUUUCUAUCCAGAAAGAAGCUUUGUGAAGGAGGUGCAAUCUAGGCAUAUCCAAAUGAGUUUCCAUUUUGCAUGAUCCCUCAUAUCAUCAUAUCAUAGCCCACCACCAAAGUAGAGCUCAUGUCAUGCCUCCAUGUGAGCUCAUCUUCAAUUCUUUGAUUUUGUCCAAACUUUCAGCUUGUGAAGCAAGUAUAUUUUAUCUUGCUCCAUUAUGGCUGCCAAUUUUUCUAGGCCUUCUGUUAUCCAUAUAACCUACCUCCACCCAUUUUGGGCAUCUCUCAUCAAGCCAUUAUUUCUCUAGAAUGUUUCCAAGAUUCUGCACAGAAAUGAUGUUUGUAAAGAAAGUACCAUUUUAGAUGGUCCAUUUGGUAUGAGCUUUUUACAGCAUCUUUAUAUUUCCAUAUCAUGAGGAUUUGCCAAGUUGCAUCCCAUUCCAUAACUCCAUGUGAGUGCAUCAUCCAAAUCAAGUUUCUGGACCAAAAAUGCAGUUGCAAAGCAACCCUAUUAUUUAUUGGUCCAUUUCUUCUCUAAAUCUCCAGUAUUGUAGUUCUUCCUUAGUUAAACCUCCCAGACAACUCCUUUGACCUCAAUCAAGUCUCUGUGGAUUAGCAGUGCUCGUCCAAGUUUACUGCAGUAAACUUCAGAGCUUGAUUACCAUUUAACCAGAGAGAUUUUAACCAAACUACCACCGCAGUAGGAACCUCCCCUGGAUGAACUUGCCACUAGACAACACGCUCCAGCUCAUUUCCCCCGCUACAUGCCAGUGCACGCGGUGACCGCGUUAAUGGCAAGCCUGUGCGCGCGCUCUGCUACAAUUGGCCACACCGAGGAUGGAUUCUUGCUCGGGCCCCUCCUCCUCUCAUCGUCUUAGCACGCGUGAGCAUGUCCCUUGGCUUCACCUCGUCGUCGCCGAUCACAUGGACCCCGCUCCCCCUCAGGCAGCUUCCUCACCGACGAAAGCCGCAGCGUGCCCACGGGCGCACAGUGGCGUUUGGCUCGGUUCAUCGCCGUCGCCUUCCUCCCUGCGCUCCGUUGGCCUCCUCUGCCCCGUGAGACACUCCACUGCUCCUCCCCCGUCGUCUACCAGCGAGCUCAUGCGCGUGCACACGCGUCCGCGGCACCGGACACGCGUCCGCGGCGGCGCCAGCGCGACACUCCCUCGCCCGGCUAUAUAUAGCCAUCCCCGCGGCCUCCCGAGCACCUCAUCAGCCUCGCCUCACUCCCAGCUUCCUCCUCGUCCACUAGCCCGAGCUCGAGCAGCUCUCCUCGACCCCCAUCGCCGCCAUGCCCGCCGCUCUGCUCAGCUCAAAUUCGAGCUGGGCAGUGCCCCUCCCCCUCUCUUUCCACCACCAGUAGACUCCUCCUCCACCUAGACUUCGCCCCCGUGCUCUCCCUCCCCUCCGGUGGCCUUCUGCCAUGAGCUCGCCGCCGACCGAAGAUCGCCGUCCGCCGCGGCUGGCCUCCCGCUCAGCCGAGCCCUACCCCGCGGCUGCAUCUUGCCUGGAUGGAUCCGCCUCGUCGCGCUGAUCAUGCCGGUAGGUCGCACGCCGCGAGAGGUGGCCGGAGUGGCCGGGAAUCCGCGUCGGGCCGUCGGUCUCGUCUCUACAUCGCGGGCGAGCGGGAGGAGGAAGAAGGAGCCAGGCCAGGCGGGCCCCAUCUCCACGCGGCCCCACCUGUCGGCGGGCAGGCGUUGACCCCGCCUGCCUAGCUGGAUAAGUGAUGGGCCCCACAGCCCGUGGGACCCGCACGUCAGCGACCCCACGCCCGGCCCCGCCACUGUCCACGUGGAUAAGUGGAAGCGUACUUCGCAGAAGUACGUUUUCGCCUUCAGAAAGCGUAUUUCUCUUCUGCUCUAGUCGUAAGUGCGCUUUCAUAGUUUGAAAACUAUUUUCUUCUUAGGCGCCUUCUGUUUUCUCACUCAGGGGCCUGUUUGUAGAGAUUCUUUUACAAAUCGGUCCCUGAACUUCGUCGGGCUAUAUCUUUUUACUCCCAACUCCAAAUGAGGUGAUUCCAAAGCCCAUUUCUUUGUCUCGUCGAGCCCGUUAUGUUGGUUUCAUUUUCACUAUGGUUUGACACUGUGAAAAUGACCCUUUUUUCCCUUGCCCGUAAACAGCCCCUCCGAGAGAGAACUGUUUCCGGCAAAUCUUUCCGCGAGCUUCUCGCACUUCUUCCCUGUGUUUUCUUCAUCCCCAGGCAAGCCACAAUACCCACUUGCAUGAUAGUCAUGCAGUAGCCAUGGUUUUCAACUUGAAUAUUUAUUAAAUGAUUGCUUGUUUAAAAUAUGGUUAUCGUUGUUUUGGUAAUGCUUCUGGGUUAGUGCUUACUUGCUUGAUAUGUUGUUAUGCACCUGGUUAUCAUGCCCUGCUAGUUGCUAGUAUUACUUUCAUAUUUCCAUGCUUGAUAGUAGUACAUGUUGGGUUGGUCAUGUUCUUCGGUGCAUGAUUAACGUCGGUUAUCGAGUACUGUUAAUAUGCGUUCUUCCUUUGCUGUUAGUUGGUUAAGUGUUACUCGGUAAUGUUAUUGAUGAGUUCUUGCAUGGUAUUUAUGGUUGAUGCUAGUGGUCAUGUUUUACUAUGAGUAGUGUUGCACUUGUAAUAGUUAUGCUCGUCAUUAUGCCAUGUUCAGUUGGAGAUUAUUCAUAGUUGAUAUGGUGGAUCGUUAUGUUGUACCCUCAUGCUUAUGUUGAUCUCAUGCUCAUGCUUUGUAUAUGCAUCAUGUUAUUUUAUCAUGGCUCAGCAUAUUGCAUUCAAGUUUAACCAGAUUAAGUUCAACUUGAACAACUGUUGGCUGAGUCAUGGUGCCACCAUAUCGAAACUGACCAGUGCAACCACGCUUACCUUAUGGGAAGGUCCUAACUGGGUCUAUUGUCGUGCCUCUCGCCGGUGCCUCCAACGAGGGAAGGUUAUGGGCGCGCGCUACCCUGAUCAGGUAGGCGGACAUAACCUUGUGUGCCCGUUGUUGUUAUUAUGGAUCCGGUCCCCGUGAGGGACGUUUUGGCCACGACAGUGGUCGUUGUGUCUUUGGUAGAUACGGGGCCACCCAGGACUAGCCCAGUUGGGAGUGGGUCGGAGUGGCCGGGAGAGUGUCAUGGCAAUAGAUCGGUUUUGUCGGAAUGCCGUUGGUCCACCCGAAUGGGAGUGCGAGGCCAUGGGUUCCGUGGUGUGGGUACAGUGUACUAACCUCUGCAGAGUGUAUAUUAAAUCUAUCGAUAGCCGCGCCCGCGGAUAAGGGCCCAGUUCGUGUCGGUCACACCGUGAGUCAACAGUAUUAAUAAUAACUUGAUUAAUGACAACCCCGGUUCGAUGAUGAGAUAAGUUGGUUGUGAUCGCCGGAAAGAUCACCGUUUGAGACCAAGUGUUGGUCAUGGUUGUGAUCGCCGAAAUGAUCACCGUGGUAUCGAGGAUACCGAGUUGUUGGAUAUUCGUGAUGUUGUGCGAGAAUCAUGGGUAAAGAUCAAGCUCCUUGUGGUCAUUUAAUGAUUACUACGGUAUUGUUGAUACCAAGCUUGAUUUGAUCCUGAGAUGAUUGUGUGAUGUCCAAGGUUGGUAAGUGAUGCAUGUGAUGGUUACGUAGUAAGCCGAGCAGAAUAAAUAGUGCAUAUAGUGUCUUCAUGUUGCAUGCUAGUAUCGUCGAAUUCAUAUGUUCAUGCUAUGCUCAUGUUGUUCUAGCUGUAUCAUGUUCAUGUUGCGCAAGUCAUGUUGUUAUGAGGAUCUCAUGUUAAUUCCUGCUUAACCUGUAAAUGCCAUGCUGAUGUUUGUCUUGAAUGCUUCUGGUUAAUGUGAGCUUGCAAGUACAUUCAAUGUACUGACCUGGCAUGUCAUGCCAGCUUGCAGGUCGUGCCUGGAUUUCUUUCUUGUUUGGUGUUGUUCUUGUGUUUGCGAGCUAGGAUAAGCAUUCCAGCCAGAGUCCCUGCGGAGUGGAGUUCACCACCGUCGUCGUUGUUCCGCCGCCAGUAGUUAUUGCGCUGCCUCAACUUGCUAUGCUGCUUGCAUAGAGCAACUGAGGAUGGCGUAGUGUCGUCGUGCCGAUGUUAUUCAUUGUAAUAUCGGAGACCUUGUAUUCAUAUUCGUGUAUUAAUAGAAAGCUGGUUUGUUCUAUGCUAAGCAGUGCCGUAUUCCAGAAGACUUCACCUCGAUCUCUGGGCUGGAAUACGGGGCGUUCCGGUUUUCUCUGAGCCGGGGUGCCACAGGCUUGGUAUCAGAGCAGGUCUGGCUGUAGGAUGCCCUAGCCCGCCCGAACGUUAGAAAGCGGUAGUAUAGACCCCAGUUGGUUUGUUGCAUUUGUUUGUCGCAUAGCAUGUAUAUAGAUUAUUAUUUUGUCACUAACGGUUGAUCUUGUGAGUGUAGGCGGCAUCGUUUUCGGUCCACCGCCUGCACCCUCCUUCUUAGCAUGCCUGCUCUUCGGUGUGAUUCGACCACAUCAUCAUCCAUUGCCCUCCAUCUCGUUCUUUUGGCAACCCUUGCUGAUCUUUGUUAUCAGAAAAGGGUAAUGCCAUUAAACCCCGUCUUCCACUGUUAUCUUGCCUUGUCAUUUCAUUCUUUGGACGGGUACGAUUCCCUUCGUACGCUUGAUGAUGAGGUGGUCGUGACUUUUGUGUCUCGCUACUUGAUCGUCAAGUCCGUCCUCACCUGUGUAUCCAUCCAGAUCCAGCCACUGUUCAGCCAGUGCUUGGUGUAGCUUCGGUUACGCCAACUCCUUCCACACAUGGAUAUAAUUUUCGUGCACACCGCCACAGCAUAUUAGACCGUAGUACCGGAGUUUCCAUGUGAUUAGUGUGCUUAGGUGUGCAUGCAUAUUAUGGUGUGAGUAGCAGUAAUAUGUGAAGAUUGCUUGAUUAAUUAUAUUAGUAGUAUGCUUGUGUGCUUUUGUUUUAGUUAUAUCUUUUGUUUGUUUCUUUGGGCCUUUGGUGUUACAAAUUUUCCCCUAUUAAAGUUGCUCGUCAGCCGACACCGGACCCGAAGAGUCAGCAAGAAAUGCAUAUAUUUGGAAACUCGGUUAAACAAGAAUGGAAUUGUCAGCAGACUGCAGUGAAAUUGGAAAUAGCUCGUCUGAAUACAAAAGAAAUCCUGGAUGGAAUGUCAGUAUAAAGUUUGCAUUAACAUGCACUCCUCACAACAGUAUGGAAUUCUCAGCCGACUGCAUUCAGAUUGGGGGAUAUCUGGUCAUGUUACUGAGUGUCAAGUCUCCCUCAGCGUGUACUCCUCAUAGCACAAAUGAUCAAAUCAGCAAGAAGAUAAAUUGUGUGCAUGGUUGAUAAAAUAUUAUCAAAGGUAUGGCUCAGAUACAAGUUUAAUUUUUCGUUGAGGAUGAUUUUGGAACCCGAUGUACCUGGAAGCAAGCAAAAAUAUGGCAUGUACUCAGAAAGGAGGAUAGUCCUGCAAAACCCCGUUUCAUACAAGAAAUCAAGAACAAAAUUUUUAAGAUGGUUAUAUAUGUGGAAAUCGGUUCGCAUAUCACAAUAAGAAGCUUCUGGUGUAAGAAACCCAAUCUUCCCUCGCAAGAUACCCGAGAAGCUUCCAAGGCAAGAUUCAUCUAUCUUCCUCAGUAUGAUACAUGGAUGAUUUCCCGUACAAGGUACUCUGCCUUCUUCAGUAAGCUACCGCAAAAGCUUCCGGCAUAAGGUACCGAGUCUUUCCCCAGCAAAGUCUUUAAGGGGGUAAGCUUCUGAAGCACGAUACCCAGUCUUCUUCAGCAAGCUGUCCGAUGAAAGUUUCGAGCACAAACCAGCCAAUCUUCCCUAGUAAGACAUUGGUACAAGGUAGUAUGAUGUGAAUUGAUAGCAUAUGGCAGUGAAUCCCAAGAAUCAGAUCCGCAACAUUUAGGUCAGAAGCAAGAAUCAGUCAGAAUACAUGUCUGUCUCGGGAAUCAGAUUCUCAUAUAUAUGCGGUGAGCAUACCAGCAAGAUCUUACAAGUCACUCAGAUGAGGAUAUGACAACCACGUGAGGAUGGUUAAGAGAAGAAAGCCAGUAUACACCGCAGUGUGACAAAGGAUUAUGAGGAUUGACGACAUCAAUGGCUCAAUGCAAGUACCUGUGAACCUGGAAAAUGAUCCUGAUGAGCCCUUGUCCCCUUUUUUCUCCAAUGAUGGCACCAUGCCUGUGAUCUAAGCUGUUUUUAGCUAUCCGGGGUGGAUGCCGAUUUUUUAUUUCUCUCUUCAACGACUGUCACGAGUUCUGAGCUGCUUUUCGGCCGUCUCGUACAGCUGUUGAGUUUCUUUUUGUGACAGUAGCCCUAUAGCUGCUUUUUGGCUAUUUUAGGGAGCUGCCACCUUCUUCUUAUCAACCCGAUCUCAUGUUCUGAGCUGCUUUUCGGCCGUCCUGCGCCAUGGUUGAGUUAUUUCAGUAAUGUCCCAGAUCUGAGUUGUAAAGACCGUUCUGGUGGCUACUGAUUUAUUUGCCGAUUUCUUGCAAAGGUUCGGAUGAUCAUUUUCCUGCGGUCAGAACUUGAGGGGUGUUGAACCUGCCAUUUAAUGGGGUACCCUGUCAGAAAAAUGAGGAUAAGCUGCGAUUGCCGAAAAAUUGCACUGACAGUACCUAUGGUGAUAAGAAGAAGCAAUAUGACCCAGCUCUUUCAGCCAAGGAUCCUGGCCAAGAAAACAAUAAUGAAGGAGCAAGACCAGUGAUGCAGGUAUGAAAAUUGUUGCAAGACCCGCGUGGUGCAGAACCACCGUCAGUCAAGUCUACAGAUAUUAUCAUACAAGUCAAACUCUUAUGCUAGCCACGACAGGCGACAAUCAAAUAUUUGGUACGGAUCCGAUACUCAAGACAGUGGAACCAGUUAAGAUGAUUCAGAAGCUUCCGCGAUAAGCCAGAAUUUGUCAGGAAAGCGGUUAUGACCCAACUCGCUGUUUGGAACCCGAAGGACCUGCAUUUAGUGGAGAAAACCAAUGCAAGGAUUUAGAGCUUGGGUGUCCACUAGAAAAAAUCUGAUCACCACUUCAUGAAAGAUUGUCAAUGACACACCCAGCAGAAAUCACUCUUGGAUUUGUGAAACCGACGUAUAUUUCAGUCGUGAGAAUCCAUCACAGUCAGCUAAGUCAGCAGAUCUAAAAAGAAAUUGGAGCCUGUAUAAGCAUGAACAAGCAAGGUAAGAUCUGUCAGAAUAUGGAUAUAUUAAAGCAAACCACCCCAGGACCAGUCAGAUAAAAAUUUAGGGGGGACAAAAAUAAGAAAAAGGAUACCCGAGUUGGAAACGGUUUCCUUAAGUCAGUAUCUUCAUACUUGUUCCCUGAGCAACCAAAUCUCGAGGACGAGAUUUCUUUAAGGGGGUAAGGUUUGUAACAGCCUGAUUUUUGGCCCUUUCUUUUUCUUUUGUUUUUCUGAGGUUUUUCCUUGAGAUUUCUUUUUCCGUGGCUUUGUGGUCUGGAAACUGAACAAGAUGCCCUCUUGUUUAUUUCCAGAGUGGCUUGUCAUUCCCAAAUCCUUCCCUAGACCCCGUCAUUUUCAUCCUAGCCCAAAUCCCAAUAUUCUCUUCAUUGGGAAUAUUCCUUUUCUACUAAAGGAAUAACUCAAGUUGCCCUAGGUUGUGAAGCAACCUUUACUUCCAUCACUCCUAAAAUUCCCAAAUAAUUCUCAUAAAUGUUUUGGGUCAUAUCUUUCCCAAAUAUGGUAAAAUAUUUCAUUUGUCAUGUUUAUCAUCAUGCUCAAAUAAUUCAUUUCCUAUUCUACCCUAAAUGGCACAUUGUGAAGCAAGUGCUAUUUUCCUUUUCCCAAGUGACCUCAAACUCCUUGGACACCUUUUCCUGUCCAUAUCAUUGCCACAUGCCAAAAUGCAACCUCAUUUGGCUAGUAAUUAUUUAAUUAUGAUUUUCCAAAGUUUCUAUCCAGAAAGAAGCUUUGUGAAGGAGGUGCAAUCUAGGCAUAUCCAAAUGAGUUUCCAUUUUGCAUGAUCCCUCAUAUCAUCAUAUCAUAGCCCUCCACCAAAGUAGAGCUCAUGUCAUGCCUCCAUGUGAGCUCAUCUUCAAUUCUUUGAUUCUGUCCAAAAUUUCAGCUUGUGAAGCAAGUAUAUUUUAUCUUGCUCCAUUAUGGCUGCCAAUUUUUCUAGGCCUUCUGUUAUCCAUAUAACCUACCUCCACCCAUUUUGGGCAUGUCUCAUCAAGCCAUUAUUUCUCUAGAAUUUUUCCAAGAUUCUGCACAGAAAUGAUGUUUGUAAAGAAAGUACCAUUUUAGAUGGUCCAUUUGGUAUGAGCUUUUUACAGCAUCUUUAUAUUUCCAUAUCAUGAGGAUUUGCCAAGUUGCAUCCCAUUCCAUAACUCCAUGUGAGUGCAUCAUCCAAAUCAAGUUUCUGGACCAAAAAUGCAGUUGCAAAGCAACCCUAUUAUUUAUUGGUCCAUUUCUUCUCUAAAUCUCCAGUAUUGUAGUUCUUCCUUAGUUAAACCUCCCAGACAACUCCUUUGACCUCAAUCAAGUCUCUGUGGAUUAGCAGUGCUCGUCCAAGUUUACUGAAGUAAACUUCAGAGCUUGAUUACCAUUUAACCAGAGAGAUUUUAACCAAACUACCACCGCAGUAGGAACCUCCCCUGGAUGAACUUGCCACUAGACAACACGCUCCAGAUCAUUUCCCCCGCUACAUGCCAGUGCACGCGGUGACCGCGUUAAUGGCAAGCCUGUGCGCGCGCUCUGCUACAAUUGGCCACACCCAGGAUGGAUUCUUGCUCGGGCCCCUCCUCCUCUCAUCGUAUUAGCACGCGUGAGCAUGUCCCUUGGCUUCACCUCGUCGUCGCCGAUCACAUGGACCCCGCUCCCCCUCAGGCAGCUUCCUCACCGACGAAAGCCGCAGCGUGCCCACGGGCGCACAGUGGCGUUUGGCUCGGUUCAUCGCCGUCGCCUUCCUCCUUGCGCUCCGUUGGCCUCCUCUGCCCCGUGAGACACUCCACUGCUCCUCCCCCGUCGUCUACCAGCGAGCUCAUGCGCGUGCACACACGUCCGCGGCGCCGGACACGCGUCCGCGGCGGCGCCAGCGCGACACUCCCUCGCCCGGCUAUAUAUAGCCAUCCCCGCGGCCUCCCGAGCACCUCAUCAGCCUCGCCUCACUCCCAGCUUCCUCCUCGUCCACUAGCCCGAGCUCGAGCAGCUCUCCUCGACCCCCAUCGCCGCCAUGCCCGCCGCUCUGCUCAGCUCAAAUUCGAGCUGGGCAGUGCCCCUCCCCCUCUCUUUCCACCACCAGUAGACUCCUCCUCCACCUAGACUUCGCCCCCGUGCUCUCCCUCCCCUCCGGUGGCCUUCUGCCAUGAGCUCGCCGCCGACCGAAGAUCGCCGUCCGCCGCGGCUGGCCUCCCGCUCAGCCGAGCCCUACCCCGCGGCUGCAUCUUGCCUGGAUGGAUCCGCCUCGUUGCGCUGAUCACGCCGGUAGGUCGCACGCCGCGAGAGGUGGCCGGAGUGGCCGGGAAUCCGCGUCGGGCCGCCGGUCUCGUCUCUACAUCGCGGGCGAGCGGGAGGAGGAAGAAGGAGCCAGGCCAGGCAGGCCCCAUCUCCACGCGGCCCCACCUGUCGGCGGGCAGGCGUUGACCCCGCCUGCCUAGCUGGAUAAGUGAGGGGCCCCACAGCCCGUGGGACCCGCACGUCAGCGACCCCACGCCCGGCCCCGCCACUGUCCACGUGGAUAAGUGGAAGCGUACUUCGCAGAAGUACGUUUUCGCCUUCAGAAAGCGUAUUUCUCUUCUGCUCCAGUCGUAAGUGCGCUUUCAUAGUUUGAAAACUAUUUUCUUCUUAGGCGCCUUCUGUUUUCUCACUCAGGGGCCUGUUUGUAGAGAUUCUUUUACAAAUCGGUCCCUGAACUUCGUCGGGCUAUAUCUUUUUACUCCCAACUCCAAAUGAGGUGAUUCCAAAGCCCAUUUCUUUGUCUCGUCGAGCCCGUUCUGUUGGUUUCAUUUUCACUAUGGUUUGACACUGUGAAAAUGACCAUUUUUUCCCUUGCCCGUAAACAGCCCCUCCGAGAGAGAACUGUUUCCGGCAAAUCUUUCCGCGAGCUUCUCGCGCUUCUUCCCUGUGUUUUCUUCAUCCCCAGGCAAGCCACAAUACCCACUUGCAUGAUAGUCAUGCAGUAGCCAUGGUUUUCAACUUGAAUAUUUAUUAAAUGAUUGGUUGUUUAAAAUAUGGUUAUCGUUGUUUUGGUAAUGCUUCUGGGUUAGUGCUUACUUGCUUGAUAUGUUGUUAUGCACCUGGUUAUCAUGCCCUGCUAGUUGCUAGUAUUACUUUCAUAUUUCCAUGCUUGAUAGUAGUACAUGUUGGGUUGGUCAUGUUCUUCGGUGCAUGAUUAACGUCGGUUAUCGAGUACUGUUAAUAUGCGUUCUUCCUUUGCUGUUAGUUGGUUAAGUGUUACUCGGUAAUGUUAUUGAUGAGUUCUUGCAUGGUAUUUAUGGUUGAUGCUAGUGGUCAUGUUUUACUAUGAGUAGUGUUGCACUUGUAAUAGUUAUGCUCGUCAUUAUGCCAUGUUCAGUUGGAGAUUAUUCAUAGUUGAUAUGGUGGAUCGUUAUGUUGUACCCUCAUGCUUAUGUUGAUCUCAUGCUCAUGCUUUGUAUAUGCAUCAUGUUAUUUUAUCAUGGCUCAGCAUAUUGCAUUCAAGUUUAACCAGAUUAAAUUCAACUUGAACAACUGUUGGCUGAGUCAUGGUGCCACCAUAUCGAAACUGACCAGUGCAACCACGCUUACCUUAUGGGAAGGUCCUAACUGGGUCUAUUGUCGUGCCUCUCGCCGGUGCCUCUAACGAGGGAAGGUUAUGGGCGCGCGCUACCCUGAUCAGGUAGGCGGACAUAACCUUGUGUGCCCGUUGUUGUUAUUAUGGAUCCGGUCCCCGUGAGGGACGUUUUGGCCACGACAGUGGUCGUUGUGUCUUUGGUAGAUACGGGGCCACCCAGGACUAGCCCAGUUGGGAGUGGGUCGGAGUGGCCGGGAGAGUGUCAUGGCAAUAGAUCGGUUUUGUCGGAACGCCGUUGGUCCACCCGAAUGGGAGUGCGAGGCCAGGGGUUCCGUGGUGUGGGUACAGUGUACUAACCUCUGCAGAGUGUAUAUUAAAUCUAUCGAUAGCCGCGCCCGCGGAUAAGGGCCCAGUUCGUGUCGGUCACACCGUGAGUCAACAGUAUUAAUAAUAACUUGAUUAAUGACAACCCCGGUUUGAUGAUGAGAUAACUUGGUUGUGAUCGCCGGAAAGAUCACCGUUUGAUACCAAGUGUUGGUCAUGGUUGUGAUCGCCGAAAUGAUCACCGUGGUAUCGAGGAUACCGAGUUGUUGGAUAUUCGUGAUGUUGUGCGAGAAUCAUGGGUAAAGAUCAAGCUCCUUGUGGUCAUUUAAUGAUUACUACGGUAUUGUUUAUACCAAGCUUGAUUUGAUCCUGAGAUGAUCGUGUGAUGUCCGAGGUUGGUAAGUGAUGCAUGUGAUGGUUACGUAGUAACCCGAGCAGAAUAAAUAGUGCAUAUAAUGUCUUCAUGUUGCAUGCUAGUAUUGUCGAAUUCAUAUGUUCAUGCUAUGCUCAUGUUGUUCUAGCUGUAUCAUGUUCAUGUUGCGCAAGUCAUGUUGUUAUGAGGAUCUCAUGUUAAUUCCUGCUUAACAUGUAAAUGCCAUGCUGAUGUUUGUCUUGAAUGCUUCUGGUUGAUGUGAGCUUGCAAGUACAUUCAAUGUACUGACCUGGCGUGUCAUGCCAGCUUGCAGGUCGUGCCUAGAUUGCUUGCUUGUUUGGUGUUGUUCCUGUGUUCACGAGCUAGGAUAAGCUUUCCAGUCAGAGUCCCUGUGGAGUGGAGUUCACCACCGUCGUCGUUGUUCCGCUGCCAGUAGUUGUUCCGCUGCCUCAAGUUGCUAUGCUGCUUGCAUAGAGCAACUGAGGAUGGCGUAGUGUCGCCGUGCCGAUGUUAUUCAUUGUAAUAUCGGAGACCUUGUAUUCAUAUCCGUGUAUUAAUAGAAAUCUGGUUUGUUCUAUGCUAAGCAGUGCCGUAUUCCAGAAGACUUCACCUCGAUCUCUAGGCUGGAAUACGGGGCGUUGCGGUUUU